rnacentral:rRNA from 1 species
GCUACUCUAGGUCAGGCAGGAUUACCUAUUGAGUUUAAGCAUAUCAAUAAGCGGAGGAAAAGAAACUUACAAGGAUUCACCUAGUAAGGGCAAACGAACCGGGAAUAGCCUAGCUUAAAAAUCGUGCUACAUCGCCAUUUGAAUUAUAGUCUAGAGAAGCGUCCUCAGUGGUGGACCAGGUUUAAUUCCCCUGAAAAGGGGCACCAAAGAGGGUGACAGCCCUAUCAUGCUCGGACCCUGUCACACCACGAUCGCUGUCGACGAGUCGGGUUGUUUAGGAAUCCAACCCCAAUUAGGCAGUAAAUUCCAUCCAAGGCUAAAUAUGGUGAGAGACCGAUGGCAAACAAGUACCACGAGAGAAAGAUGAAAAUGACUUUGAAAAGAGAGUCAAAGAGUGCUUGAAAUUAACGGGAUGGAAGCAGAUGGGGGCUGGUGAUGAGCCUCGGUAGGAUGUAGAACUGUGACAACCAAUCCGCUGAUCAGCUUGGGGCGAAGACCGGUGUAGAUUGGGGCAGAGGCUAAUGCUCAAGCAGUUGUAAAGCCCAUGGAGAUGCCUUUGCCUUGAUCGUGGCUGGCAGCAUGUGCCUCUAGCAUACCUAGGCAUCUGUACGCUCCCAGCACCAACCAACGGGCUCCUCAUUCGACUCAUCUUGAAACACAUACCACAGAGUUUAACAUGUGUACGAGUCAACGGACGAGUAAACCCGUAAAGCAUAAGGAAGCUGACGGGUAGGAUCCCCCAGUAGGUUGCACUGCCGACCAACCUUGAUCUUCUGAGAAGAGUUCGAGUGUGAGCAUGCCUAUCGGGACCCGAAAGAUGGUGAACUAUGCUUAGCGAGGCGAAGCCAGGCGAAACUCUGGUGGAGGCCUGCAGCGAUACUGACGUGCAAAUCGUUCGUCUGACUUGGGUAUAGGGGUGAAAGACUAAUCGAACCAUCUAGCAGCUGGUUUCCUCUAAAGUUUCCCUCAGUAUAGCUGGAGCCGGGGUGCGAGUUCUAUCAGGUAAGGCGAAUGAUUAGAGGCAUCUGGGGCACAACGCCCUCAACCUAUUCUUAAACUUUAAAUAGGUAGGACGGUGCAGCUGCUCUGAUAAGCCGCGCCAGCUAAUCGAGGGCCCCAAGUGGAACAUUUUUGGUACGCAGAAUUGGCGAUGCAGGAUGAAUCGGUAGUCAGGUUAUGGCGCUCAAUUGUGCGCUAGCCUAGAACUCACAAAGGGUGUUGGUCGAUUAAGACAGCAGGACGGUGGUCAUGGAAGUCAAAAUCCACUAAGGAGUGUGUAACAACUCACCUACUGAAUCAACUAGCUUUGAAAAUGGAUGGCACUGAAGCACGCAACCUAUACCCGACCGUCGAGGUAAGUGUCAGGCCCUGAUGAGUAGGAGGGCACAACGGUUGUUGUAAAACCUUAGGCGCAAGUGACCAUUGGUGCGGAUCUUGGUGGUAGUAGCAAAUAUUAAAAUGAGAACUUUGAAGGCAGUAACGGCACUAGCACAUGGUUUUGUUGAUCCUAAGAGUCGAGGGAAGCCUGACAGAGAGCGCAUCCAACAUAAGCAUUGAAAGGAAAUUGGGUUAAAAUUCCUGAACCGGGAUGUGACGGCUGAUGGUAAUGUUAGGGAGUCCGGAGACAUCAGUGAGGGCCUCGAUAAGAGUUAUCUUUUCUAUUUAACAAUCCGCCCACUCUGGAAACGGCUCAGCUAGAGGUAAGGUCCAACGACUGGAAGAGCAUCGCACGUCGGGUGAUGUCCAUGGGCCCUAGACGGCCCUUGAAAUUCUAAAUGGGCUAUAUGCCUCCCACGCCCGGUCAUACUCAUAACCGCGUCAGGUCUCCAAGGUGAACAGCCUCUGGCCAAUGGAACAAUGUAAGCUAGGGAAGUCAGCAAAAUGGAUCCGUAACUUUAGGAAAAGGAUUAGCUCUGAGGCUGGGCACAAGGGUCCCAAUCUUAAACCCGUCAGUUGCCGAUAGACUGCUCAAGCUUCUCCCGUGGUGAGAACGGGUCACCACGUGUCGGCUGGGGGAUAGACUGGGAACAACUCCUCGUGGGGCCUUCCCUGAGUGUCGAACAAUUGACUCAAAACUGGUACGGACAAGGGAAAUCUAAUUGAUUAAUUAAAACAAAGCAUUAUAAUGGUCCUGCAGAUGCUCGUGUAAUGUGAUUUUUGCUCAGUGCUCUGAAUGCAAAGUGAAGAAAUUCAACUAAGUGCAAGUAAACGACGAGAGUAACUAUGACUCUCUUUAGGUAGCCAAAUGCCUCGUCAUCUAAUUAGUGACACACAUGAAUGGAUUAACGAGAUUCCCACUAUCUCUGUCUACUAUCCAGCGAAACCACAACCAAGGGAAUAGGCUUGGCAGAAUUAACAGGGAAAGAAGACCCUAUUAAGCUUGACUCUAGUUCGACUUUGUGAAAUGACUUGAGAUGUGUAGGAUAAGUGGGAGCUGAAAAUGGCAAAAAUAAAGUACCAUUACUUUUAACGUUAUUUUACUUAUUCGAUGAGUUAGAGAUGGGGCACUGCCCCUCUUUUUGGACUGAAGGCCUGUCUCAGUGAGCCAAUACAGGCAGAAGACAUUGUCAAGUGGGGAGUUUGGCUUGGGUGGCACAUCUGUUAAAAGAUAACGUGUGCAUCCUAAGAUGAGCUCAACUAAAACAGAAAUCUCAUAUAGAACAGAAGGGCAAAAGCUCAUUUGAUUCUAAUUUCUAGUACAAAUACGAACCGUGAAAGCGUGGCCUAAAGAUCCUUAAGACCUUCAGAAUUUAAAGUUAGACAAGUUAGAAAAGUUACCAUAGGGAUAACUAGCUUAUGGCAGCCAAACAUUCAUAGUGACAUUACUUGUUGAUCCUUCAAUGUCAACUCUUCCUGUCAUUGUGAAGCAGAAUUCACCAAGUGUUGGAUUGUUCACCCACCAAUAGGAAAUGUGAGUUGCGUUUAAAUCAUCAUGAGACAGGUUAGUUUUACCCCACUAGUGACAGUGUCACAAUAGUAAUUCAACCUAGUACGAGAGGAACCGUUGAUUCGCACAAUUGGUCAUCGUGUUUGGUUGAGAAGUCAGUGGUGCGAAGCUACCAUGCACUAGAUUAUGACUGAAUGCCUUUAAGUCAAAAUCCAGGCUAGAAGUGACACGUGCACCUACCGACCAGCAGUACGUGCCAUUCAGCCCCCAAAGGCACGAGUCGUAAGUGAAACUCGUGCGACGAAAGAGCCAUGAGGCUGCCUUAAAGAACAAUUUCUAUCGAGCAACGAGUAAAAUCC